rfam:Triticum aestivum genome assembly, contig: Triticum_aestivum_CS42_TGACv1_scaffold_404263_5BL
CAAAUACUCCCGCCGUCCGGAAUUACUUUUCAUCAAAAUGGAUAAAAGAAAAUGUAUCUAGAGAUAUUUUAGUUAGAUACAUCUCUUUUUAUCCAUUUUGAUGACAAGUAUUUUCGGACGGAGGGAGUAUUUA